GAUGAACGCUGGCGGCGUGCCUAAUACAUGCAAGUCGAGAGAACGGACGAGAAGCUUGCUUUUCUGAUGUUAGCGGCGGACGGGUGAGUAACACGUGGAUAACCUACCUAUAAGACUGGGAUAACUUCGGGAAACCGGAGCUAAUACCGGAUAAUAUUUUGAACCGCAUGGUUCAAAAGUGAAAGACGGUCUUGCUGUCACUUAUAGAUGGAUCCGCGCUGCAUUAGCUAGUUGGUAAGGUAACGGCUUACCAAGGCAACGGUGCAUAGCCGACCUGAGAGGGUGAUCGGCCACACUGGAACUGAGACACGGUCCAGACUCCUACGGGAGGCAGCAGUAGGGAAUCUUCCGCAAUGGGCGAAAGCCUGACGGAGCAACGCCGCGUGAGUGAUGAAGGUCUUCGGAUCGUAAAACUCUGUUAUUAGGGAAGAACAUAUGUGUAAGUAACUGUGCACAUCUUGACGGUACCUAAUCAGAAAGCCACGGCUAACUACGUGCCAGCAGCCGCGGUAAUACGUAGGUGGCAAGCGUUAUCCGGAAUUAUUGGGCGUAAAGCGCGCGUAGGCGGUUUUUUAAGUCUGAUGUGAAAGCCCACGGCUCAACCGUGGAGGGUCAUUGGAAACUGGAAAACUUGAGUGCAGAAGAGGAAAGUGGAAUUCCAUGUGUAGCGGUGAAAUGCGCAGAGAUAUGGAGGAACACCAGUGGCGAAGGCGACUUUCUGGUCUGUAACUGACGCUGAUGUGCGAAAGCGUGGGGAUCAAACAGGAUUAGAUACCCUGGUAGUCCACGCCGUAAACGAUGAGUGCUAAGUGUUAGGGGGGUUCCGCCCCUUAGUGCUGCAGCUAACGCAUUAAGCACUCCGCCUGGGGAGUACGACCGCAAGGUUGAAACUCAAAGGAAUUGACGGGGACCCGCACAAGCGGUGGAGCAUGUGGUUUAAUUCGAAGCAACGCGAAGAACCUUACCAAAUCUUGACAUCCUCUGACUCCUCUAGAGAUAGAGUUUUCCCCUUCGGGGGACAGAGUGACAGGUGGUGCAUGGUUGUCGUCAGCUCGUGUCGUGAGAUGUUGGGUUAAGUCCCGCAACGAGCGCAACCCUUAAGCUUAGUUGCCAUCAUUAAGUUGGGCACUCUAAGUUGACUGCCGGUGACAAACCGGAGGAAGGUGGGGAUGACGUCAAAUCAUCAUGCCCCUUAUGAUUUGGGCUACACACGUGCUACAAUGGACAAUACAAAGGGUAGCGAAACCGCGAGGUCAAGCAAAUCCCAUAAAGUUGUUCUCAGUUCGGAUUGUAGUCUGCAACUCGACUACAUGAAGCUGGAAUCGCUAGUAAUCGUAGAUCAGCAUGCUACGGUGAAUACGUUCCCGGGUCU
rnacentral:rRNA from 1 species